rnacentral:rRNA from 1 species
AGAAUCAACGCUGGCGGCGUGCCUCAGACAUGCAAGUCGAACGAUUAAAGCUCUCUUCGGAGAGUGUAUAGAGUGGCGCACGGGUGAGUAACACGUAAGUAAUCUACCUUCGAGUGGGGAAUAACCCGGGGAAACCCGAGCUAAUACCGCAUAAUGCAGCGGCAUCUAAUGAUGACAGUUGUUAAAGAUUUAUCGCUUGAAGAGGAGCUUGCGGCAGAUUAGCUAGUUGGUAAGGUAAUGGCUUACCAAGGCUACGAUCUGUAACCGGUCUAAGAGGACGGUCGGUCACACUGACACUGAAUAACGGGUCAGACUCCUACGGGAGGCAGCAGUCGGGAAUUUUGGGCAAUGGGCGAAAGCCUGACCCAGCAACGCCGCGUGAAGGAUGAAGUAUUUCGGUAUGUAAACUUCGAAAGAAUGGGAAGAAUAAAUGAACGGUACCAUUUAUAAGGUCCGGCUAACUACGUGCCAGCAGCCGC